rnacentral:rRNA from 1 species
UACAGAGGUCUCAAGCGUUGUUCGGAUUCAUUGGGCGUAAAGGGUACGUAGGCGGCGCGGUAAGUCGGGUGUGAAAUCUCGGAGCUUAACUCCGAAACUGCAUUCGAUACUGGCGUGCUUGAGGACUGGAGAGGAGACUGGAAUUCAUGGUGUAGCAGUGAAAUGCGUAGAGAUCAUGAGGAAGACCAGUGGCGAAGGCGGGUCUCUGGACAGGUCCUGACACUGAGACACGAAGGCCAGGGGAGCAAACGGG